CCUACUGGUGGCAUCAUUGAGGCAUCUUGGUCAAUGGACGAGAGUCUGAACCAGCCAAGUCGCGUGACGUCUUCCUUCCCUCUUUUUUUUCCCCUUCUUUUCUCCCUUCCUCCCCGGAGGCACGCGUGCCUUUUUGAGUGUACUUUAUGAAUAAGGAUCGGCUAACUCCGUGCCAGCAGCCGCGGUAAUACGGAGGAUCCGAGCGUUAUCCGGAUUUAUUGGGUUUAAAGGGAGCGUAGAUGGGUUGUUAAGUCAGUUGUUAAAGUUUGCGGCUCAACCGUAAUAGUGCAGUUGAUACUGGUAGUCUUGAGUACAGGUGAGGUAGGCGGAAUGCGUGGUGUAGCGGUGAAAUGCUUAGAUAUCACGAAGAACCCCGAUUGCGAAGGCAGCUUACUAAACUGUGACUGACAUUGAUGCUCGAAAGUGUGGGUAUCAAACAGGAUUAGAUACCCUAGUAGUC
rnacentral:rRNA from 1 species